AGUGGAUGGGGAGCAACCUAGUUGUGCGUGUGUAAAGGUAGUGCCAAGAAAAGCGAUGAUCAUGUUGAAAAUCAAUUCCCGGUACCCGAAACCGACACAGGUGGGCAAGUAGAGAAUACUAAGGGGCGCGAGGUAACUCUCUCCAAGGAACUCGGCAAAAUGACCCCGUAACUUAGGGAGAAGGGGUGCCACCGAGAGGUGGUCGCAGUGAAGAGGCCCAGGCGACUGUUUAGCAAAAACAUAGGUCUCUGCAAACUCGAAAGAGGAGGUAUAGGGGCUGACGCCUGCCCAGUGCCGGAAGGUUAAAGAAGUUGGUCAGUUUUAGGAUGAAGCUAGCGACUGAAGCCCCGGUGAACGGCGGCCGUAACUAUAACGGUCCUAAGGUAGCGAAAUUCCUUGUCGGGUAAGUUCCGACCCGCACGAAAGGCGUAACGAUCUGGGCGCUGUCUCGGAGAGAGGCUCGGCGAAAUAGGAUUGUCUGUGAAGAUACGGACUACCUGCAUUUGGACAGAAAGACCCUAUGAAGCUUUACUAUAGCUUGGAAUUGUGUUCGGGCUUCCUGUGCGCAGGAUAGGUGGGAGGCGUAGAAGGUAUUCUUGUGGGGAUACUGGAGCCAACGGUGAGAUACCACUCUCAGGAGGCUAGAAUUCUAACUUAAUUAAGGACAGUUUCAGGUGGGUAGUUUGACUGGGGCGGUCGCCUCCAAAAAGGUAACGGAGGCGUACAAAGGUUCCCUCAGACUGGUCGGAAAUCAGUCGAAGAGUGCAAAGGCAGAAGGGAGCUUGACUGCGAGAAGUACAGUUCGAGCAGGGUGGAAACACGGUCUUAGUGAUCCGACGGUGCUGUGUGGAAGGGCCGUCGCUCAACGGAUAAAAGUUACUCUAGGAUAACAGGCUGAUCUCCCCCAAGAGUUCACAUCGACGGGGAGGUUUGGCACCUCGAUGUCGGCUCAUCGCAACCUGGGGCGGAAGUACGUCCCAAGGGUUGGGCUGUUCGCCCAUUAAAGCGGUACGUGAGCUGGGUUCAGAACGUCGUGAGACAGUUCGGUCCAUAUCCGAUGUAGGCGUGAGAAUAUUGAGAGGAGCCUUCCUUAGUACGAGAGGACCGGGAAGGACGCACCGCUGGUGUACCUGUUAUGAUGCCAAUUGUAAACGCAGGGUAGCCAAGUGCGGAGAGGAUAACCGCUGAAAGCAUCUAAGUGGGAAGCCCACCUCAAGAUGAGUAUUCUGGUGUAAGGUCACGGGAAGACGACCCGUAAAUAGGCACGAGGUGGAAGUGCAGAGAUGUAUGAAGCCGAAGUGUACUAAUAGACCGUCGGCUUGACC
rnacentral:rRNA from 1 species